rnacentral:rRNA from 1 species
UACGUAGGGGGCAAGCGUUGUCCGGAAUCAUUGGGCGUAAAGAGCGCGUAGGCGGCCCUGUAAGUCCGCUGUGAAAGUCAAGGGCUCAACCCUUGAAUGCCGGUGGAUACUGCAGGGCUAGAGUCCGGAAGAGGCGAGUGGAAUUCCUGGUGUAGCGGUGAAAUGCGUAGAUAUCAGGAGGAACACCAGUGGCGAAGGCGGCGAUCUGGGCAGAUAUUGACGCUGAUGUGCGAAAGCGUGGGGAGCAAACAGG